CGGCGGACGGGUGAGUAACGCGUGGGUAACCUACCUCAUACAGGGGGAUAACAGUUGGAAACGGCUGCUAAUACCGCAUAAGCGCACAGUACCGCAUGGUACGGUGUGAAAAACUCCGGUGGUAUGAGAUGGACCCGCGUCUGAUUAGGUAGUUGGUGGGGUAACGGCCUACCAAGCCGACGAUCAGUAGCCGACCUGAGAGGGUGACCGGCCACAUUGGGACUGAGACACGGCCCAA
rnacentral:rRNA from 1 species